rnacentral:rRNA from 1 species
GGGGGGGGGGUGCUAUACAUGCAGUCGAACGAGUUCUGAUUAUUGAAAGGUGCUUGCAUCUUGAUUUAAUUUUGAACGAGUGGCGGACGGGUGAGUAACACGUGGGUAACCUGCCCUUAAGUGGGGGAUAACAUUUGGAAACAGAUGCUAAUACCGCAUAAAUCCAAGAACCGCAUGGUUCUUGGCUGAAAGAUGGCGUAAGCUAUCGCUUUUGGAUGGACCCGCGGCGUAUUAGCUAGUUGGUGAGGUAACGGCUCACCAAGGCAAUGAUACGUAGCCGAACUGAGAGGUUGAUCGGCCACAUUGGGACUGAGACACGGCCCAAACUCCUACGGGAGGCAGCAGUAGGGAAUCUUCCACAAUGGACGCAAGUCUGAUGGAGCAACGCCGCGUGAGUGAAGAAGGCUUUCGGGUCGUAAAACUCUGUUGUUGGAGAAGAAUGGUCGGCAGAGUAACUGUUGUCGGCGUGACGGUAUCCAACCAGAAAGCCACGGCUAACUACGUGCCAGCAGCCGCGGUAAUACGUAGGUGGCAAGCGUUAUCCGGAUUUAUUGGGCGUAAAGCGAGCGCAGGCGGUUUUUUAAGUCUGAUGUGAAAGCCCUCGGCUUAACCGAGGAAGUGCAUCGGAAACUGGGAAACUUGAGUGCAGAAGAGGACAGUGGAACUCCAUGUGUAGCGGUGAAAUGCGUAGAUAUAUGGAAGAACACCAGUGGCGAAGGCGGCUGUCUGGUCUGUAACUGACGCUGAGGCUCGAAAGCAUGGGUAGCGAACAGGAUUAGAUACCCUGGUAGUCCAUGCCGUAAACGAUGAAUGCUAGGUGUUGGAGGGUUUCCGCCCUUCAGUGCCGCAGCUAACGCAUUAAGCAUUCCGCCUGGGGAGUACGACCGCAAGGUUGAAACUCAAAGGAAUUGACGGGGGCCCGCACAAGCGGUGGAGCAUGUGGUUUAAUUCGAAGCAACGCGAAGAACCUUACCAGGUCUUGACAUCUUUUGAUCACCUGAGAGAUCAGGUUUCCCCUUCGGGGGCAAAAUGACAGGUGGUGCAUGGUUGUCGUCAGCUCGUGUCGUGAGAUGUUGGGUUAAGUCCCGCAACGAGCGCAACCCUUAUGACUAGUUGCCAGCAUUUAGUUGGGCACUCUAGUAAGACUGCCGGUGACAAACCGGAGGAAGGUGGGGAUGACGUCAAAUCAUCAUGCCCCUUAUGACCUGGGCUACACACGUGCUACAAUGGAUGGUACAACGAGUUGCGAGACCGCGAGGUCAAGCUAAUCUCUUAAAGCCAUUCUCAGUUCGGACUGUAGGCUGCAACUCGCCUACACGAAGUCGGAAUCGCUAGUAAUCGCGGAUCAGCACGCCGCGGUGAAUACGUUCCCGGGCCUUGUACACACCGCCCGUCACACCAUGAGAGUUUGUAACACCCGAAGCCGGUGGCGUAACCCUUUAGGGAGCGAGCCGUCUAAGGUGACAAAUUUG